GGACAGUGAUGUAGAAAGGCUUACAGACAGGUACAGGUCCCAGUUAAGGACAUAAAACAUGAGGGAAGAAAGAAACACUGGAAUCCAUGACAAGGACACAGUGGAGGUGGGCUGGUAUAUGUAGUGAGUGACUGAUGAGGGAAUGAGGUGCAGCUGAGGAGGUUGGCAGGAAACUGCAGGGAGGAUGAGAAAAGUGGGAACAGGUGUGAAGAUGGAUGAGGCAGUCAGGUGAUGGAGGAAGGAGGGAAAGUCUGAGGGCAUCUGGUGUGUCUCUCUGUCACUACAUGGACUUGAGACAAAGAAAUCUGUCCAACUGUAACUGAUGAAGACUUCCAUGUCUUCUGGCUCUGCCCACAUGUCCAACAGGUCUGGUUGGAGUCUCGGUCUCAGCAUCCCCUCAUCCCUCAUCACUGCUUUACUUGUUCAAAAUGUCCACAUUACAAACACCUACAAACAUGUCAGACCUGCUGCUACCAGACUCUUCAGUGUCCUCUGCAUGUAAAUGUGUAGUUGGGUGGUGUCAGCAGUGAGGGGGAAACAGCAGGACAUGUUGAGGACAGCUACAGUCCACUGACUCUGUGUGUUUGCAUAUGUGUCCUGCCUCUGUGCUCCCAGCCGUUAAGAGGCCAGUGUUGAUCAGUGGCUGUCCAGGCCUUUCAGAGCCACUGACCUGCCGGCAGCACAAUGAUGAUGUCCCUGAUCCUACUGCUGCUCACCCUGGGGCUCCUUGUUCAGGAUUCAUCAGGAGAAAUCAUCCUGACUCAGUCUCCUCAGACUCAGUCUGUUGUUCCAGGACAGACUGUCUCCAUCAGAUGUAAAGCCGGUUCAAGUGUUAGUUAUGACAUGCAGUGGUACCUUCAGAAAGCUGGAGAAGCUCCUAAACUCUUGAUUUAUGAUGAUACAACUCGUUACUCUGGAGUUCCUGAUCGUUUUAGUGGAAGUAAAUCUGGGAAUGACUUCACUCUGACCAUCAGUGGAGUUCAGGCUGAAGAUUCAGGAGUUUAUUACUGUCAACAGGAUGAGAGCUUCCCGUUCACACAGUGAAACAACGUCGUACAAAAACCUCCUCAGCUGGAGAGGAACUGAUCUGAAUCAACAGCUGCACAGAAACUGAAACACUAAUGGUUUAAAUAAAAUACAUUUUAGAUAAAAACAGGCAACAACAGAAGGCAACAACAGAACAGUAAUGACUUUGAGGAUAAAAUUAGUUUGUGUAUUUCUUAUAAAUGCAAUAUUUUUUAUAUAACUUUAAUUCUUAAUUCAAGUUUGUUUUUGUGUUUUUAGAGCUACACUAUUUGCAAUUGUGGUUCUUGGUAACAUCAUAACACAAAAUAAAUUUUGAUAGAAAUAUUCAUUAAAUGCUGAAUACAUUUUUUUAUAGCUCUUUUUAUUUAGCUUUAUAUUGAGAAAGUCACAUCAGACACUUAUCAAAGAGCUGUAACGGAUGAAUU